rnacentral:lncRNA from 1 species
GUGGGAGCCAACUCUGAAAUGUAAAAUGUUGGUCAUAUGCUCAGCCCUGAAGCAUGCUCACAGAUGGGAGGAAGACGGGGCCGCUGUGUGCCUGCUUCUGUUAGCAUAGCCAGUGUUUCUCACCCAUCACUACUGCUUGUUUUCUGUCUCCUUGGCUACCUCUUUCUGGAAGAAUCAAGUCUUCUGAUCAGCAAGCCAGGACUUCCGGAGUAAUUCUAAAAAGCCAGUGGGUCUUGUCCAACCAGACCCUGUACAGACUAGGAGGUCUGGGAUAUUCUGUGACAAUUCCAGGCUGAAGCAGAAAAGCAGAGGCUACAGCAUGUUUCCCGUCACUGUGGUUCCCUGGAGGCGAAUGCUCACGGCUCCUCCUUAGGUAUGUAAAGACCUAGUUUCACUGUUUGUGCUGCUUUUCUUCUCUUAUUUGUAUUUGCUCUAUUUACUUAAUUGAACCUAGGUCCAGAUGAAAGAACCAUCUCAUGUUGUAUUCCCAAAGAGGAAAUGAUUCUCUGGUGACCCCCUUGGGGAUUCGCUCGCGCCCGAGAGUCACAGAGAAGGAAUGUUUUCUCUAUGCCUAUGGUCUCCCAUAGCCUCCCAGCCCUCCUAAACCAGCAACUCUCUGUGUUUGCAUUUUUAGACCCCUCUCAGUAUUGUUUUUGAUUCUACCCUCUUUCAACUCAAAAAUAAAGGAGGGGAGGGGGGCGUUAGAACUUCCUUAAGCUCAAAAUUUCAUGGACAAUUGUGAGCUGUUUGCAGAAGACAGUGUUCACUGUUGAAAAGGCACUGGGAUCAAUGGAAUCUGUCUUUAGAAUGCAGAUCCCUAAAUCUUACCCAAGACCUGUUGAAUUACAGUUUCUAGGGGAUGGAGCUGUGAAUCAGCUCCAGACAGAACCACUCCUGGGCAUGGGGACAGCUGACCAUCCUGUAAAUGUAGGGCUUCCCAAGCUCAUGGGUAGGCGGGCUUUUCAGUGGGGUGACUGACUCUGAUAACGCCAAAUUAGAGACAUCUGGGUGGGGCUGUACCCAAAUCAUCCCAGGAAGCUGAGCUGGCCGCCUCCUGUUCUUAUCAAAAAUCUCCUUGGGAAGAAGCUUCUCCUAAAACUGGAGGGGGAGUAAUUAUGCUAAGAGCAAUACACCAGAUGCAGAAAGAUAGACACUGUACGAGGUACCUGGAAUAGGCAAACUCCUGGGGAAUUCAGGCAGAGGGAGACUUACCAGGGCUGGGAAGAGUGGGAAGCGGGAGUCAGUGUUUAAUGAGGACAGGGUUUCUGUUGUGGAUGAUGAAAAAGUUUUGUGUAUAGAUAGUGGUGAUGGUUACACAACAUUGUGAAUGGUAAGAGUAGGAAAGGGGAGUUAGUAUUUAACGGGGACAGAGUUUCUGUUGUGGAUGAUGAAAAAGUUUUGUGUAUAGAUAGUGGUGAUGGUUACACAACAUUGUGAAUGGUAACAGUGGGAAGGGGAAGUCAGUAUUUAAUGUUGAAAAGGCAUUGGGAUCUGUUGCGGGUGAUGAAAAAGUUUUGUGUAUAGAUAGUGGUGAUGGUUAUACAACGUUGUGAAUGUGUUUAAUGCCACUGAAUCGUAUACUUACUUACGGAUGGUUAAAAUAAUAAACGUUAUGUGUAUACAUUUUUUUCCACAAAAACUGGAGGGAAAAUGGAUUAUAAUAUUUUAAAAUUCAAUAUGUGAUUAAUAGUCAUUUGGAAAGAAAAUGUGAAAGUAUUGUACGGUGAAUAAAAACCCUAGGAAGAAACCCAUUUCCUAAUCUGUAGGGCUGGCCUAUGAAGCAUGAGUUCAUGGGCUCCAGAGUUAUUUCACUAUCAGGAAUUGCACGUUAUUGGCUUUUCACAGAAUACAUAUAAUUGCUGGAACUACAGAGCAAAGAGGCUCGUUAGGAUAAUCUUCCAGGCCUCCUCAUUUUGCAGGUCAGGAAGUUAUUUGGCUCUGGUUCUGGCUCCAGAAAUCUACCCAUGAUAAAGAUGGGCAAGAACCACGGCCUUUUGAUUUCCAGCCCAAUAUGCCUCCCUGCAAAACUCUCCUGUACAGGAAAAUCAAAACAGCCCCAGAAAACACACACUAAGUUCUGACCGUCUCUUGUCAAAUAGGGGCCUCCAGCUGACCACAGCGCCCAACGUAGCCUGCACUGAAUGAAAGAUUCACCCAUGGACUCCACAUGUAUUUGCCCAGUUAAACUCACAGCGGUCCCAUGAGGGAAGUGAAUGAUUAGUUUGCACAUUGAAAUGGGAAUUGGAAGACAACAACAUUUGACAUACUUGGCCUCUUUUGCAAUUUUCUCAUCAAAGGCAAGUUCUCUAUAAAUGUCUAACAGAAAUGACUUACAAUAAUUAGGCCUUCUCCCUUCUUCCGUUUAUCUAAUAAAAGUGCUCUAAAUGGUUAAUGCUAAUAUCUCAGAAUGCUUCAAUUAAAUGAAACAUUAACAUUUAAAGUUAGCUUUCAGGAGAAUUUAAACUUGAAGUUUCUACUGAUUGCCUUGCUGCUGACAUUAAUUUAAGCACAAGCAAUCAUGAAACCACCAAAUAGUUCAGAGAAACAUGGUUUUCAAGCAAAGGUGAGAUAACUUUGUCAAGAAAAGAAAACAGAGCUAUAAAACCUAAUAAACCAUUGAGAACAACCACACACAGUACUCUGACUUGAGUCAGAUUGAGACCUUUCCAUUUGCACCUAAAUUCUGCCUGGAAAAAAAGCUACAUCAAAGCUUGAUACAGAAGAAAAAAUGCAAACAGAAUGGAACACACCUUUCCUUCCUCUUUCUUUCAAAAAACCUAGGCUAAUUCCAUAAUUAUUUCAUUAAAAUAGCCUCUAACUCCUCCCAUAAUUAAACCAAUCCCAAAAAUAGGAAAAUUAAAACCAACAGAACAACCAGUUAAAAGAAGCUAACGCAAGCUAACCCUAUGUGAGCCUGAUUUAUGUGAUGAGAGAAGGGAAAAUAGGAGACCAGUGUACAGGAAGGAGAGCCACACUGCUGUGCUGGAUUGGGAAGGGAGAAUAGCUGCAAAGAGAGAAGAGAAAGGGAAGACAGCUGUGGAUGGGCAAGGUGGGGUGGAGAGUGGAGGCACAGAGGCUGGCCGUGCUGCCGCUGGAGAGUGGCUCUCAAGAGGCCAUGUUAAAAGAAGACACUGUAUGCGGAAUGCGGAAAGCAGCAGAAAUGAUUUCCCACCAAAUCCUCUCCAUCUGGAGGCUUGGCGCAGGGCGUGGCUGGCCAUGUGGUUGCAUGCUGAUGGAGGUCCUGCUGCUCAGCUGUGGCUUGUGUUUGACAUUCUAGAAUGAAGGUAGGACGUUUGGGGAAUGGGUGGCCCAAUUUUGGGAAUAAUAGAUUUUAUUAUCAGUUAGAAGCUCAAUUUAAUCAGGACAACAUAAAACAAUGAGGGAGUAAUGUAGGGUUGCAGACAAAGCUCUACCAUUGAUUAUUUUGUGACUCAAACAAGUGUCUGAUUUGAGCAACUUGCUUCAUCUA